GGAAAAUAUAACAGGCGGCUCACCAUUUAAAGGUUUGGUGCACAAAGAAGUCUCUCUCUCAAGUGACUGCUGUAAGCACCUCGAAGUGACAUUCAAGAGGAGUGAAAUUUCUUAAGUGCAGUCAUCCUAACUGAAGUCUGGAGAAACUGAAAUCACCAUUUUAAGUAGUAAAUAAGGCAAACAUCUCUGACACCUGAAAAGUCAAAUUGUGCACAGCUGUACAAUUGUGCACUGUACACAUGCCUGCACUGAUGUGCCUAGGAGAAUAAGGGCCAAAGGCAUUUCUACCUAUUCAUCUGUAGUAAUAGAUGCAAUUCAAAAUUCAAAGUCAGUGACACCGAUUUCACUGGGUUUUGGAUAAGCCCCUGAAAAAUGUUCCAGCUCUUUAAAACAUCGAAGAAAAGUUGAGCAAUUGAAUAAAUCACACUAGAAGUUGAGUAAGUAGAAAGAAAAAGACAAACAAACACAUGACUACUGAUAGAUAAUGUGGAGUUUAAGGAUUUUCACUACAGAACUCUGCCGAGUUCUCCCAUCCCUCUCCUGCCAUUUGCAAUUCUUUCAUCUUGGUUGAGCUGGCCCCGUCAGUCAAAGCUGAUACUACAGCAGUUUAUUAUGAGGAACAAAUUUACUUUCCAUUAAAUCCAUUUUCACACAUGAUCUAAUCCGAUGCACAUUCAAAGCCUGAAACAGACUCAAAAUCAAACAAAAUAGUAUUUAUGCAUCAAAACACAGGUUAGUUAACCAAGUUUUUUUUUUUAUUUCAAUGUAUUGGGAACAUUUUCUCAAAUUAAAAAUAGAAACUUUAAAAUCUACAGUCUGAACAUAAUAUGUACACAUAUGCUACAUAUAAUCAAGUAGAAAGAUUUCCAUUUACGAUCUAACAGUGAAAAAUGUAGGAAGUUAUUUCAGAUAAAGACUGGUAGCACUGAAAACCUGGUAGCACUCUUCAGUUUUCAUCUUAUAUAUUCAAUGGUUUUCAGGAAUACCCCUAAUUGAAACCAUAAUUCACCUUUCUGGAAAUAAAACUAAGAAUAAACAUAUUCAAGACAUCUAUUUAUUUCAUCUUCCUUUGCUCCUUGUGCUUUAUAUUUAUAGUGUAGACAUUUGCAGCCCUUUUAAAUGAAUUUAUGCAGCCAUCUCAUCCAGCAACACAACUGUCAUGCCUAAAUUCAAGGCAAUCCCCAAACAGUAACAAUGUAAAUUAACUCCCCCAAAGCGUUUCUAAGUUUUAUGUGGAAAGUUGCAUUUGCAAAUGAAUUAGCAAAAAUAAUUCCUGGCUGUUAAACAAUUUUCAGUGCCAUCUCUUAGGAACUUGGGUUGUACAGGAGAAAUGGCGCUUUCAAAAACAGAGAUGAGCAACUUUUUGCUACUACUGGCUAUGCUUGUGACCCAGAACCCUCCCACAGGUCACAAAUCUAUGCCCUCCCCCCACCCCGAGUGCCCAAGCCACCUGCACCUACCUUCACCACAGAUUCAAGUGGCCAAGAGUGAUGGAAAGGGUUAAAAUUUGGUGGUGCUGUAUUUGGGAGAGCAGAGUGGCCAGCAGACACCGCGGAAGGAACAGACAGAGCACAGCAGACUGUAGGAUAUCUCCUCUAGGGCCCUGGCUACUGCAGAAGGAAUAGAUGGAACAAGGCAAUGGUUGGACCCCCUCUGCUGCCCCAGCUACAGUGUGCUGCUGAUUCCCCAGGUUGCCCUGGGAAAGAUCCAAUCUCUUCAGGGGCCAGAUCCAACUCCUGGGCUGUAGGUUUCCAACCCUUGUAAAAGAACCAGUUUCAUGACAUCCUACUCUAUUUGAGUAUUAUUAAACUCCAGUCAUCAGGUGGGUUUUCCAUAUUGUGCAGUGCAAGCACACAAAAACAAACACAAACUUGUAGUUUUAAAUGAGUUUCUCUGAAACUGCCUUCUUUUUUUCUAUAUUUCAAACAUCACUACAUAUGAAAUUAUUCAAGGAAAGGAGAAAAUAAUUCUUUGACUGAUUUAAUUUUUCAAAGACACAAAAGAGAUAUUGUGAGUUUCAUAUAUUUAAAAGUUCAGUCAAAAGUGGUCAUUCCAAGAGCACCAAAUAUCAACACUGAUCAUGCUGGUAAGUUCUUUUAUGAAGUAUAUUAUACAGUAUUAAAAACUUAGCUAAAUACUUAUAAGUUGUAAGAAAAUGUAUAUACAAAAGUCUCUGUAUAUAAAAUGUAUUCUUUAUGUAAACGUAUUUAAUACAUUCCCAACAAAAUAAGAAGGAGAUUUUGAGCAACCACAGUCAGACAGUUAACUUGAAGUAAAAUCUAUGCAAGUGAAAUUAAUAUCUUUAUCAUGAUUUGGUUUAGAAAGCCCAGUGUAAAAAAGUAAAAAAGAAACAAAAUUACACUUUAUUUUAAACUCUGAAUGGUAGUGAGCGAGAAGUGGAUGCCAAGUGCCCUGGUCAUAAAAUAUUUUGUACAGUAGUUUAUGGUAUAACAUUCAAUAUUAUUUGCUUGAUUUACAGGACAAGCCGCAUAAAGCGAGUGGCUCAGGGCUUGGAAGAUGAAUGCAGAUCCCAAUACAGUUUCAAGUGUCAUGCUGUCCCACAGAAGUCUCUUGAGCAUCACAUUUACGGGCUGAAAACAGAAAUUCAGGAAAAAGUUGAAGUAAUUUGUACGGAAGCUGAGAUAUGGAUGAAUGUAAUGUAAAAGUUACAUAUGGAUCAGCACAACUUUUACCUUGCAACAAUCAUGCUACUUAAAAAAUAUAAGCCUUUGCUGUUUUUUUCACAUUUUAAGACCACUUUUUUGAGAAAAAAAAUGCAUGAAUUUUUAAAUAAAUUAAAAAGCUUGUUACUUA